rnacentral:lncRNA from 1 species
CAGCCCUAUAGGAGACACCUCCAGAGAAAGUAACAACUCUCAGUUGAUUAGCUGAGGUAUGUAUGUCAUUUAUGGCAAUACCUGUCUCCAUCCCCUCCGUCUUCUUCUAGGAGACCAAUUUUGUAAAUUGCUACUUUUCUAACAACAGUGGCACAGGUGGCCCAGCAUUCUCCCUUUUCUCAGAGCUGGUUUUCCAUCCUGGAAAGAGAAUAAACAGAUGCUUUUACAGCUCGCAUUGGUGGGAAGAUCUGGCACAAAUGAAGUAUCUAUAAGGAGCAGCAGAGUCAAGGUGGUGAUCCUGUGGAAGAAUAACUGAAACCUGAUAUACUUGACAGCAGAAAAUAUAAAGCAAAUCGAAAAGGAGAGAGUGUGGAGAUAAAUAAGGAAAUGAAAGAACUGAUGAAGUCACUUGGAUUAAAAAA